rnacentral:rRNA from 1 species
UGAAUACGAGACGCUAAGGCGUCGAAGUAGUGUAUGUCAUACUUCCAAGAAAAGCUUGCACUGUCAUAGAUAAAAAACGCCUGUACCAUAACCGACACAGGUGGGUAGGUAGAGUAUACUAAGGGGCGCGAGAUAACUCUCUCUAAGGAACUCGGCAAAAUAACUCCGUAACUUCGGGAGAAGGAGUGCCUUAUUCGUAAGGUUGCAAUAACAAGAUCCAAGCAACUGUUUAUCAAAAACACAGGUCUCCGCUAAGUCGUAAGACGAUGUAUGGGGGCUGACGCCUGCCCAGUGCCAGAAGGUUAAAGAAGUUGGUUAGCAAUUGCGAAGCUGAUAACUGAAGCCCUGGUGAACGGCGGCCGUAACGAUAACGGUCCUAAGGUAGCGAAAUUCCUUGUCGGGUAAGUUCCGACCCGCACGAAAGGCGUAAUGAUUUGGAUACUGUCUCGGAGAGGGGCUCGGUGAAAUAGACUUGUCUGUGAAGAUGCGGACUACCUGCACCAGGACAGAAAGACCCUAUGAAGCUUUACUGUAACUUGAAAUUGAAAUUGGACUUUAUUCGCGCAGUAUAGGUGGGAGGCGUUGAUUAUAAUCUUGUGGGAUUAUUGGAGCCAUCAGUGAGAUACCACUCUUGUAAUGUUGGAUUUCUAACUUUGAAUCAUUAUCUGGUCAAAGAACAGUUUCAGGCGGGCAGUUUGACUGGGGCGGUCGCCUCCUAAACGGUAACGGAGGCGUACAAAGGUUUCCUCUGAACGGUUAGAAAUCGUAUCUAGAGUGUAAAGGCAUAAGGAAGCUUGACUGUGAGACCUACAAGUCGAGCAGGGACGAAAGUCGGUCUUAGUGAUCUGACGGUACUGAGUGGAAAGGCCGUCACUCAACGGAUAAAAGUUACUCUAGGAUAACAGGCUGAUCUCCCCCAAGAGUUCACAUCGACGGGGAGGUUUGGCACCUCGAUGUCGGCUCAUCGCAUCCUGGGGCGGUAGUACGUCCCAAGGGUUGGGCUGUUCGCCCAUGAAAGCGGUACGCGAGCUGGGUUCAGAACGUCGUGAGACAGUUCGGUCCAUAUCCGGUGUAGGCGUUAGAAUAUUGAGAGGAGCCUUCUUUAGUACGAGAGGACCGAGAAGGACAUACCUCUGGUGUACCAGUUAUCGUGCCAACGGUAAACGCUGGGUAGCUAUGUAUGGAGUGGAUAACCGCUGAAAGCAUCUAAGUGGGAAGCCCACCUCAAGAUAAGUAUUCUCA